UCUGGAUCGAUGAUGUUAAUAAAUCUGCGUUAUCUAUCUGCAACUUCCCAGAAUUCAUUCUGGGAAUUGAAGAUACUAUCAAGUUACUGAGAUCUCAU